CCUACGUGAGGCAGCAGUAGGGAAUCUUCCACAAUGGGCGAAAGCCUGAUGGAGCAACGCCGCGUGGGUGAAGAAGGUCUUCGGAUCGUAAAACCCUGUUGUUAGAGAAGAAAGUGCGUGAGAGUAACUGUUCACGUUUCGACGGUAUCUAACCAGAAAGCCACGGCUAACUACGUGCCAGCAGCCGCGGUAAUACGUAGGUGGCAAGCGUUAUCCGGAUUUAUUGGGCGUAAAGGGAACGCAGGCGGUCUUUUAAGUCUGAUGUGAAAGCCUUCGGCUUAACCGGAGUAGUGCAUUGGAAACUGGGAGACUUGAGUGCAGAAGAGGAGAGUGGAACUCCAUGUGUAGCGGGGAAAUGCGUAGAUAUAUGGAAGAACACCAGUGGCGAAAGCGGCUCUCUGGUCUGUAACUGACGCUGAGGUUCGAAAGCGUGGGUAGCAAACAGGAUUAGAUACCCUUGUAGUC
rnacentral:rRNA from 1 species